UGGAUAAGAACUGGGUGGGAAGGGCACUGGGCAUGAUGGUUUGGGAAGUAUGGCUCUGCUUUCUCUGAUGUUGAGUGUUUCUAGAAGGUGAAGUCUAUCAAGUAAAUCAUUUGAGCUUUGUUUUCUCUUCAUUGUGCCCUCUCACUCCUGCCUCCCCCCCCCCAUUUUCUUUUAUGUGCCCCUCCCACCUCUUCCUGUGUUUCCUCAUCUCAUUCCCUCCUGCCCUAGUUUCUUGGACCCCCUUCUUUGUUCCUUUGUCACCCAGAGCGUGGUGAUCGUGAUUUCAAUGGCCUCCUCUCUUCACUCGUCCAGCUGCUUUUGGCCCCGGAAGCCCGGACAUUGUUUGGUUUCCAGUCACUAGUGCAACGAGAGUGGGUGGCAGCUGGACACCCUUUCCUGACCAGGCUUGGGGAAACUGGGGCCAGUGAGGAGGUGAGGACACUUUAGGGUCUCUUUGUCUUGAGUGGGGUCAUUACUAAAGGAAGAGGGUAAGAAAAUGAUAUAAUCUAACCUCUGGACUCAAACUCCGUGUGAAUGGGCUGAGUGAACACUCAGGUGAGUCAGCCUUGAACCCCUACUACUCUGAAUUCCUGUUUUAAUCCCUGACUUCUUUAGUGUCCUGUUCCGACUGUGUUCUCUUCGAAGGCUCCGGUGCUCCCUCUCUUCCUUGACUGUGCCUGGCAGCUUCUCCAGCAGUUUCCAGCUGAAUUUGAAUUCUCCGAGUUUUUCCUUCUUGCUCUUCACGACAGCAUCAGGGUUCCGGACACCCUCACCUUUCUGAGAAACACUCCCUGGGAGCGCGGGAAGAAGAGUGGACAGUUCAACUCAUAUACACAAGUUUACACCCCCGAGUACUCCCAGCCCCUAGCUGGAAGCCCGGCUAAUUUACAUCUGUCCGUCUGGGACUGGGAUUUACGCUACAGCAAGGAACAGAUAUCACAGUUCCUUAAUCCUGGCUACGAUCCGGAACAUUGCCCAGACAGCGGGCUCCCUAGACAGCAGCCAAGCCUCAUGGUUCCUGGAUCCCCCAGUUCUAUGUGGCUGUUCUCCAGAGGGGCCCUGACCCCCCUGAAUCAGCUCUGUCCUUGGCAAGACAGCACUUCCUUGCUGACAGUCUCUUCUCAUUGGCUCCCUCGACCGGCUAGAUCCUCUGAAAGCCUAGCUGACCAGGAAUGGGGGCUCCCCUCACAUUGGGGAGCCUGCCCUUUACCUCCUGGGCUACUGCUGCCUGGAUAUUUGGGACCACAGAUCAGGUUCUGGAAACGCUGUUACCUGAGGGGAAGGCCGGAGGUCCAGAUAGGCUCUUCAGCUCUCACAAUCUCUGGCCUUCAAGAUGAGCUGUCUCAUCUUCAGGAACUAUUAAGAAAAUGGACACCAAGAAUAUCUCCGGAGGACCACAGCAAGAAAAGAGAUCCAAAUACUAUCCUUUCUCAGAUCUGCUGAAACUGCUAGCCAUCUCAAAGGCAGGGCAGAGGGCGGGGGUUUGUUUCUGCUGAUGUUUAUGUCUGACCUUGGUGCUUCGGGUUUGGUAUUCCAGUCUGUAAAGCUCACUUAGUAGGCCAGUUUCUGUAGAUGGUGCUACCAACCUCCAGCUCUCCUGUCUCGUUUGGUUCCUGGAGCUAUUUUUGUUUCUUGUGAUUUGAAAAAUAAGAAACAAAACCAAUUCAGAAUGAUUGCCUUUUUUCGAGGCAAUUCUGUGCCAUUUGGAUGGUUGUCAAAAGUAUGAUAUCAGAGACCCUUUUCAUCAGCCCCAGCAAGGUGUCCUAGAGACCUCAUUCUCAACCCCUCAACACUACAUUGAAAUCUUUUCUUAGUCUUCUGUGGGAAUGAGGUGAAUAAGGGAGACACCUCCUCCUCCCACUGUAUAUUUUUGUAGCAGCAUUUCUAUUUAAGGAGUUCAUUAAAGCACAGUAUUUCUACAC
rnacentral:lncRNA from 1 species